AGAGUAACGGAGGCGUUCCAAGGUUCCCUCAGAAUGGUUGGAAAUCAUUCGCAGAGUGCAAAGGCAUAAGGGAGCUUGACUGCGAGACCUACAAGUCGAGCAGGGACGAAAGUCGGACUUAGUGAUCCGGUGGUACCGCAUGGAAGGGCCAUCGCUCAACGGAUAAAAGCUACCCUGGGGAUAACAGGCUUAUCUCCCCCAAGAGUCCACAUCGACGGGGAGGUUUGGCACCUCGAUGUCGGCUCAUCGCAUCCUGGGGCUGAAGUAGGUCCCAAGGGUUGGGCUGUUCGCCCAUUAAAGCGGUACGCGAGCUGGGUUCAGAACGUCGUGAGACAGUUCGGUCCCUAUCUGUCGUGGGCGCAGGAAAUUUGAGAGGAGCUGUCCUUAGUACGAGAGGACCGGGAUGGACGUACCGCUGGUGCACCAGUUGUUCCGCCAGGAGCAUGGCUGGGUAGCUACGUACGGACGGGAUAAGCGCUGAAAGCAUCUAAGCGUGAAGCCCCCCUCAAGAUGAGAUUUCCCAAUUAGUAAGACCCCUUGAAGACGACGAGGUAGAUAGGUUGGAGGUGGAAGUGCAGCAAUGCAUGGAGCUGACCAAUACUAAUCGGUCGAGGGCUUAUCCUAU
rnacentral:rRNA from 1 species